rnacentral:rRNA from 1 species
AAUGACCGCCACCUACGGGCUUAACGCAUGCAAGUCGAGGGCAGCAUUAUCUUAGCUUGCUAAGAUAGAUGGCGACCGGGGCACGAGUGAGUAACACGUAUCCGACCUUCCGGUUACUCGGGGAUAGGCUUUCGAAAGAAAGAUUAAUACCCGAUGUUGCGUAUCUUUCUCCUGAAAGAUACGACAAAGGAUUCCGGUAACCGAUGGGGAUGCGUUCCAUUAGGCAGUUGGCGGGGUAACGGCCCACCAAACCUUCGAUGGAUAGGGUUCUGAGAGGAAGGUCCCCCACAUUGGAACUGAGACACGGUCCAAACUCCUACGGGAGGCAGCAGUGAGGAAUAUUGGUCAAUGGACGGAAGUCUGAACCAGCCAAGUAGCGUGAAGGAUGACUGCCCUCUGGGUUGUAACUCCUUUUAUACGGGAAUAACAUGAGUACGCGUACUUUAUUGCAUGUACCGUUAUGAAUAAGCAUCGGCUAACUCCGUGCCAGCCGCCGGGGACUACGGGGGAUGCGAGCGUUAUCCGGAUUUAUUGGGUUUAAGGUACCGUAGGGGGAGGUAAGGUACCUGGGAGAGGUGGGCUCAUCUUCACUUGACUUAUUCUGAAUCUUGGGGGGGGCGGGGGGUGGAGGGGGCGUUUGAUAAAGCAAGAUACCCGACGACUCCGUGCGAAGAAAAAAGGGUGAUCAGUUUUAUUUUUGUGAAAAGAUGGAAAGGGGGGGGCGGGUGGGGCAGUCCUUUUGCCUAUCGUGUAGGCGUCUCGGCGCCGGGCGGAAGUGUGUUUUUUUUUUUUUUUUUUUUUUUAUAAAAAA